AAGGUCACCAAGGGCAGCCUUGAAGAGGA
rnacentral:piRNA from 1 species